CUGGGCCGGUGCGUCGCUGUGGGCGGCCGGGAUGGUCUUCGAGGCCGUCGGGGACGCCCAGCUGGCCCGCUUCAAGGCGGAUCCCGCCCACCGGGGCCGGA
rnacentral:tRNA from 1 species